AGAGUUUGAUCCUGGCUCAGAACGAACGCUGGCGGCAUGCCUAACACAUGCAAGUCGAACGAGACCUUCGGGUCUAGUGGCGCACGGGUGCGUAACGCGUGGGAAUCUGCCCUUGGGUUCGGAAUAACAGUUGGAAACGACUGCUAAUACCGGAUGAUGACGUAAGUCCAAAGAUUUAUCGCCCAAGGAUGAGCCCGCGUAGGAUUAGCUAGUUGGUGAGGUAAAGGCUCACCAAGGCGACGAUCCUUAGCUGGUCUGAGAGGAUGAUCAGCCACACUGGGACUGAGACACGGCCCAGACUCCUACGGGAGGCAGCAGUGGGGAAUAUUGGACAAUGGGCGAAAGCCUGAUCCAGCAAUGCCGCGUGAGUGAUGAAGGCCUUAGGGUUGUAAAGCUCUUUUACCCGGGAUGAUAAUGACAGUACCGGGAGAAUAAGCUCCGGCUAACUCCGUGCCAGCAGCCGCGGUAAUACGGAGGGAGCUAGCGUUGUUCGGAAUUACUGGGCGUAAAGCGCACGUAGGCGGCUUUGUAAGUUAGAGGUGAAAGCCUGGAG
rnacentral:rRNA from 1 species